rnacentral:rRNA from 1 species
UACGUAGGGGGCAAGCGUUGUCCGGAAUUAUUGGGCGUAAAGAGCGUGUAGGCGGUCCGGUAAGUCGGUUGUGAAAGUCCAGGGCUCAACCCUGGGAUGCCGACCGAUACUGUCGGACUAGAGUUCGGAAGAGGCGAGUGGAAUUCCCGGUGUAGCGGUGAAAUGCGCAGAUAUCGGGAGGAACACCUAUGGCGAAGGCAGCUCGCUGGGACGUUACUGACGCUGAGACGCGAAAGCGUGGGGAGCAAACAGG